AAUGGCAGCGUUCACCAGUGGCGUGUUCUACGGCACCACUCGUCAAAGAGAUCGACCAAGGAUAAGCGAUGCGACUGCGAACCGUGUUUUGGAGAAAAUUGCAGAAGAGGACACGUCAGAAUUUUCUGACCUUUCGGACAGUGAUGAUGACACCAUUGAGUAUGUUCCUCCUAUUUCCGCUACGGAUCUCAACACGGAACUCAGUUCAGAGGAUGACAGUGAUGGCGAUGUAGAAGAAACCUAUGUAGCGUCUACUAACAAAAGGCCUUUGUUAUGGACGGUAACUGAAAGGUCAGUACCGUCCUGGGUGCCGCAGUUCCAAGUCAUGCCGGAUGACACCGAUGAGCGAUCCCUCGUGGAAUCCAGCUAAACACUUUGAGACGUACAUUGACAACGAAGUGUAUGAACACAUGGCCCUGGCCAUGAACAUAAAACACGUAGCUGAGACAGGGAGGAGUCUCAACACGUCAGCUGAUGAAUCGAAAAUGUUUUUUGGCAUGUCAAUUGUUAUGUCAGGCCUUGGGUAUCCACAAAUCAGGAUGUAUUGGAUGAAGAAUACACGAGUGACAAUCAUAGCGAAUAGCAUGACGAGAGACAGGUUCUUUCUAGGUCACGAUUGAAGGUCGUCAACGACCUUUUAGUACCUCUUACGGACAAAGAGGAUGAUAGGCUGUGGAGGAUCCGACAUUAACUGAAAAGGUGCUGGAAGGAUGUCGCAAACUCCCGCGAGAGGAAUUUCUCAGCAUCGAUGAGCAAAUGAUCCCGUUUACCGGAAAGACGCAAUUAAAACAGUUUGCUCCAAGAAAACCUAAUCCAAUAGGACUUUAAAUUUGCCUUGGCAGCUCCAGAUGGUCUUAUUCUCGAUUUUGAGAUUUACCAGGGAAAGAAGACAUUGUUGCUCUCAGGCUGUUCUGGAAUAGGUGAGUCAGCAGUCUUGAGGCUUUCCCAAAGUCUUAGUCCAGGCACAAAGCUCUUCUUCGAUCGCUACUUUACGUCAUCAUCUCUGCUGGAUAGACUCGUUGAAAAGGGAAUUGGAGCUACAGACCCUAUCAUGAACAAUCGUCUUCCAAAAGGUAUCAAGUUAUCCUCAGAUGCACAGCUGAAGGCAGUUGGACGGGGUACUUCGGAGAUGUGCAUCCAUAGUGAUGACAGGCAAAUUGUUGUGCGGUGGUACGACAACAAAUCAGUCACGUUGCUGUCGUCACAACAUGGAACGCAGCCACUGGACUCAUGCCGCAUAUGAUCUGCCAAAGAAGAAAAGUACAUAGAAGUACCAAGGCCUCACAUCGUACAAGUAUACAAUGCCUACAUGGGUGGUGUAGAUAUGGCCGAUCGAAUAAUUAGCUACUACCGCCUUAGAGCGCGCGUUAAAGAAUGGACCAUCAGGUGCAUUUUCCAUUUAUUUGAUAUUGCGCUCAGUAACUCGUGGAUCCAAUACACCAGGCAUAUGAAGGCCAUGCAAAAGAAGCCUACAUACAUUCUCAAGUUUCUCGACUUCCGCAGUGAAGUAGGUCAUAUGCUUAUUGCACAGGCCGAGCAGGCAUCAACAGAGGAAGAAGAGAACUGGAGCCCUCCAAUAAAGCGGAAACCUCUACGGCCAAUGAAGGCUAUGAGCAAUUCAAUGAAGCACUUGCCGAGGUUGGCAGACAUUCCGAAUGGUGCUCGAUGCAGGCUAGAAGGAUGUCAGAAAAAAACUAAA